CCGAUAGAAAAUCUGAGAGGGAACCAACUGUGCACUCCCCCAGUUUAUUAAAAUUUUGCAAUGCCAAAUUUUCUUCAUGAGAAAUAAAGAGGGAAUUUUACAACAAACAAAAGAAGAAAAGAAAAUUGAAACCUUUCUGUCAAGCUUGACCUUAAGUUUUUUCGGCUCGCAACCAAAAUCGUGCAUGCAAUAAAUGUGCGUGAGCUGUGAUUCGUACCAAGGAAGUUAUUGAGCAUGCUGAACAUUUCUGCUUCACUACGGCUCUGGCGUUCACUGAUCCUUGCGGCGACAUCAAACUGAUUUUGCAGAGACGAGUAGAGAUGACCGGUCGCUGCAGAGUUAGAAGUUUCUACGUAACUGAAAUAUAAAACCAUUUUUAAUUUUUAUGACGGACUAAAAUAAUUAUCGAUCUGUACGGUUGGGAUUGCGACGAGACAAAAUGGGAUCGCGGAUACUGACAAGGACUGACACUGACUCGGUGAAACAUGCGGUGAAACAAAGAGAGAUGCAGACAGGCGGCCGGCUUGGCGGUAAACGAGGGUCCGCUUUUUCCUUUCACUCCAAGUCGUAUCAUAAGUUCGGGAGUCGCGUCUGCCUGAUAGUGAGUCUUUCUUUGCAGAAAUGACGUAUGAGCACUUCAGCGCUCAGGAUCGGUCGUUGAGUCGUUAUUGAACCACCUUCAUCGAUAUACUGCCGUGCUAAGGAAAAACGCCGUAUGAACAUUCGAGAGUUGCCACAUUUCCUUCGAUAAAGUGCAUAUUUUCGAGGAAAGUUAUGAAUAUUUUCUCUUGAAAUUUUCAAGAAAUUUCGGUGAAAAAGUAUACAAAACUAUCUGAAAAUUCGAAAGAAAAUAGUCAUAAAUUUACCAGGAAAUUCGUGUUUUAUCAAAGGAAAUUUGGCAACGCCCAAAGGUUCAUAUCGACGGUGUAAGUCGGCAAUCACAUAACUCGUUUGCGGUGUCUGAAAAUCUCCGCCUCUAAGUUAUUUUUUUAAAGGAGAACAAAUUGACAUCAUCCCUUGAAAUUUUUGCUGAAUUUCUCCGCACAGAGGAGAAAAAUCACGGCAGUUUUAAAGAAUUGCCGUUGAGCAGUUUUCCGUUUAAAAAAUAAAGUAUGAUAGGAAGUCUGCGACGUCGCAAACCGAGUUAUGUGAUUGCCGUCUUACACCGUCGAUAUACGGCGUUUUUCCUUAGCACGGCAGUAUGAACAUUCGAAUGUUGCCAAAUCCGAUCUCAAAAUGAUCUAUUUUUGAGAAAAGUCAUGAAUAUUUUUCCUUAAAAUGUUCAGACACUUAAAGUCAAAUUACGGACAAAAUUCUCUGAAAAAUCGGAAGAAAAUAAUAUUAUCAACAAAUUUUCCCGGAAAUUGGUGAUCUGUUGACGGAAAUUCGGCAACGUCUGAAGGUUUAUACGGGUUCUCACUAAGCACAGCAGUAUAUUUCUAUCUUACAUUAGUGAUACUGUUCGUCGAUU
rnacentral:lncRNA from 1 species